rnacentral:rRNA from 1 species
UCCUACGGGGCGCAGCAGUGAGGAAUAUUGGUCAAUGGGAGCGAGCCUGAACCAGCCAAGUCGCGUGAGGGAAGACGGUCCUAUGGAUUGUAAACCUCUUUUGUCGGGGAACAAAAGCCGCCACGUGUGCCGUUCCGAGAGUACCCGAAGAAAAAGCAUCGGCUAACUCCGUGCCAGCAGCCGCGGUAAUACGGAGGAUGCGAGCGUUAUCCGGAUUUAUUGGGUUUAAAGGGUGCGCAGGCGGAAGAUCAAGUCAGCGGUAAAAUUGCGAGGCUCAACCUCUUCGAGCCGUUGAAACUGG